rnacentral:rRNA from 1 species
CCCUUAGAUGUUCUGGGUCGCACGCGCGCUACACUGACAGGGCCAGCGAGUACAUCACCUUGGCCGAGAGGUCUGGGUAAUCUUGUUAAACCCUGUCGUGCUGGGGAUAGAGCAUUGCAAUUAUUGCUCUUCAACGAGGAAUGCCUAGUAGGCACAAGUCAUCAGCUUGUGCCGAUUACGUCCCUGCCCUUUGUACACACCGCCCGUCGCUACUACCGAUUGAAUGGCUCAGUGAGGCCUUCGGACUGGCCCAGGGAGGUUGGCAACGACCACCCAGGGCCGGAAAGUUGGUCAAACUUGGUCAUUUAGAGGAAGUAAAAGUCGUAACA